GGCACUGCCUAGGCGGGAGGGUAGCAGUCUCCUAUUUCGCAAAUCUGCUUUACGGCGGGCUGUAGGCUUUGGGCGGCUUAGUGCGCAGUCAUUGCCUCACCCUAGGGCGUCGAAGCUUCGUCCUGUGGGGCCAAGUGCUUUGUGAACCGUGCGAGAUCCGGAAGGAAGCAGCACUAAAUAAAACAUGAGGCGCUCUCAGAAAACGGAGUGGAGCUUUAGCAUGAGAUUAACAAUAUCCAGCGGCUAUUCCCACCAAGGCGGCAGUGCU
rnacentral:SRP_RNA from 1 species